GUAGGGAGAGGCCGUGAUGAGUGAUGGGAGCCUUGGUAGGGGGAGGACUAGGGGGCAGAGGGGAUUUCCUCUGGCAAAAGGAAGAGUCAGCCCGGCAUCUGCCCUACGCCCUUUCCCACUGCCGACCACCCCUCCGACCCUGCAUCACUGGGCUGCGGCUGGGAAAAGUGAGACCCAGACGCUCCAUCUCAGCUUCCCCAUGUGGUGCUGUGCUCUGUGGUGGCCAAGACUGCCAUGUUGCCAUGCUGUGAUGCAGCAAGAAAGUCCUCACCAGAUGCAGCCCCUUGAUCUUGGACUUCCCAGCCUCCAGAACUGUGAGCCAAAUAAACUUCUAUUGUUUAUCAAUUACCCAGUGGUGGUAUUCUGUUAUAAUAGCACAAAAUGGACUAAAACACUGCCAAAUUGAUGUAUCCUACAGGAAGGCCGCCCUUUGCUGCACCCAGGGCUGGGAGGGUCUGGGCACCCCAUCUGGCCUCAGCUGACCUCUCUGAUUGCUGGCCUGGAAGGAGCAGAGCCUUAGGACAUUCAGACAGUGGCCACCCCAGGAUCUGUCCCCUCUGUGUGGGCCUGCGGUGCUGGCCUCACAAGCUCACCUGUGCCGUUUUCUCUGGGAUAGGCUGAAUAAGAUGAUUAGGAUGAUCAAUGCGAGCAGCAGCACCGCCAUCACAGCCCCCACGAUCCCAUACACGAGGCUCUUGGCGAUGUUGAAUUCACAGGUCUCUCCCCAGUACCAGUGUGUGUUCGUAUUUGGGCACCUGGGGACACAGACAAGCUCACGCUGAUCCCCUGGGAUCCCUCACAUCCAAUAUCCCAAGGGUUAACCCACUCUCCUAAGCACAGGAAACCAGAUCUCCCUCACUCCAACGGCUGGAGCUCAGCCCCCAGAGAGCCUGGGUCCCUGACUUCCUCAGGCUGAUGGGCACUGAGGGAGUUGGGGGGACCUGGAGACUGCAGAUCAGGAAUUCAAAUGACUAGGGCUCAAGGGGACCUGAGAGUGUUGGGUGUCUCGUCCCAGACACGUACCAUUCACCCACCUAAUCUCUAAGCAUCUGCUACCUAAAUGGGCCUGUUAUCAUGGUUUUUCUUUUGCACCUUAAUUUAUGGUCUGUGGACUUAGUGCUGUGGCUGCAGCUAGAGGUAAUCUUGACAGCAUGGCAGAGAUGACAUAAGGGAAAUUAACAAUAUAGACAGAUAUAGAGAUUGAGAUAGAGAUACAAAGAUAGAGAUAGAGAUAGAGAUACAGACAAAGAUAGAGAUAGAGAUAGAUUUGGAAAUUGACAGCAU
rnacentral:lncRNA from 10 species